rnacentral:rRNA from 1 species
GACGAACGCUGGCGGCGUGCUUAACACAUGCAAGUCGAACGAAGUGGCGAACGGGUGAGUAACGCGUAAUCAACUGCCCCCCUCUCCGGGAUAACACUUGGCAACGUCUGCUAAUACCGGAUAGUGGGGUAUGACUCUCGGCCUAUCAGCUUGUUGGUGGGGUAGUGGCCUACCAAGGCGACGCCGGGUAGCCGGCCGGAGAGGGCGACCGGCAAAAUUGGGCUGAGAUACGGGCCAAAGGCCUACGGGAGGCAGUAGUGGGGAAUAUUGCACAAUGGGGGAAACCCUGAUGCAGCAACGCCGCGUGCGGGAUGACGGCCUUCGGGUUGUAAACCGCUUUCAGCCAUGACGCGGUAGUGGCAGAAGAAGCACCGGCUAACUACGUGCCAGCCGCCGCGGUAAUUC